rnacentral:rRNA from 1 species
UACGGAGGGUGCAAGCGUUAUCCGGAUUCACUGGGGUUAAAGGGUGCGUAGGUGGGUUUGUAAGUCAGUGGUGAAAUCUCCAAGCUUAACUUGGAAACUGCCGUUGAUACUAUAAAUCUUGAAUGUUGUGGAGGUGAGCGGAAUAUGUCAUGUAGCGGUGAAAUGCUUAGAUAUGACAUAGAACACCAAUUGCGAAGGCAGCUUACUACCCGAAUAUUGACACUGAGGCACGAAAGCGUGGGGAUCAAACAGG